GAGAAGGCUCAGUGGAAGAGCGCUUGCCUAGCAUGCAGGAGGCACUGGGUUCGAUCCUCAGAACCUCA
rnacentral:tRNA from 1 species